rnacentral:misc_RNA from 1 species
UAGUAACUCAUCCCCAAUAAGGAUUGCAGGGGUGGGCGUUAACAAUGAAAAUUUUAAAUGUAUGUAACUCCGAAGCUAGUGAACCAAUUUUUAUCAAAUUGUCUAAGCAUCUGUAAUUUGGUCUAACUUGAGAGAUAGGGUAGUUUUUAUCUCAAUUGGACCCGGUAGGUGGCGCUGCUAUUGGUAUGUAACUGAAACUACUGAAUCAAUUUUUAUCAAAUUUUGUAGGCAUCUGUAAUUUGGUCCAACUUGGAAGAUGGCGUAGUUUUUGUCUUAUUUGGAACUGGUAGGUGGCGCAGCUAUCGGUAUGUAAGCUAUCAAAUUUGGUAGCUGUUUUCGGGGCAGGACAUCUGCCGGGUCCGCUAGUAAAUAUAUAUAUUUUUUUAAAUAAAGUUGUUUUAUUUUAGUAAAUAAAUGUAUAAUAUAUAUUAAUACAAAUUGUAAGUAAAAGUAGAUAUUAUAUAUGAAACGUAUUACAUCUAUAUAUGUAGGAACUGUACUAUGUUUAAUAUACGUAGGUAUGUAUGUAGGUAUAGUUUUUCUAUAAGUAUUACUAUACUCUGUGGUAUAGAUAUACAUUUGUCGACGUUAGUACCAAAUCUCAAAUCCGCGCGAGGCGCUAAUGAUGCAUUUCCAAUUUUAGCUUUAGAGUUACGCCUCUAUUUCCUAUAUAUACAAAGUACUCUGUGGGCAUUGCGGUCUGAAAUCGAUUAAUCGAAGAAUCGAUUCUCAGACCUAAUAAAUCGGUUUUUUAAUUAGAUAAUUAUGUUGUACUGAAUCGAAUCAGUGAAUCGAUAUUUCAUCCUUGAAAAUCGACAUUCGAUUUUUUUCUGUUUUGGUAAAAACCAUAAAACCAUUUACAAUUAGCUGAAUGUACUCGUUAUAUUACAGGAUUGCCGAUUAAAGGGUUAAUUACUCAAAAACACUAAUUUUAGAUGUAUAUAUUGCUAAGUAUAUGGCUUUUUUAUUAUUUUUAACCUUUUGUUCAGUUUUUUUUUUCACUUUAU